CUUGACCUCAAAUCAGGUAGGAUUACCCGCUGAACUUAAGC
rnacentral:rRNA from 1 species